rnacentral:tRNA from 1 species
GGAAGCGUGCCAGAGCGGUUGAAUGGGCCGCACUUGAAAUGCGGUAAGCCAGAAAUGGCUUCGAAGGUUCGAAUCCUUCCGCUUCCG